GGACUACACGGGUAUCUAAUCCUGUUUGCUCCCCUUGCUCUCGCGCCUCAGCGUCAGGUAUAAACUAGAAAGCCGCUUUCGCCACCGGUGUUCCUCCACAUAUCUACGCAUUUCACCGCUACACGUGGAAUUCCGCUUUCUCCGUCAAUCCUCUAGACAGACAGUUUCAAAUGCAGCACCAAAGUUGAGCUUUGGUAUUUCACAUCUGACUUAUCAAUCCGCCUACGCGCCCUUUACGCCCAAUAAUUCCGAUUAAUGCUUGCACCCUACGUAUUACCGCGGCUGCUGGCAC
rnacentral:rRNA from 1 species